AUCUAUACUGUGAAACUGCGAAUGGCUCAUUAAAUCAGUUAUCGUUUAUUUGAUAGUACCUUACUACAUGGAUACCUGUGGUAAUUCUAGAGCUAAUACAUGCUAAAAACCCCGACUUCGGGAGGGGUGUAUUUAUUAGAUAAAAAACCAAUGCCCCUCGGGGCUCCUUGGUGAAUCAUAAUAACUUAACGAAUCGCAUGGCCUUGCGCCGGCGAUGGUUCAUUCAAAUUUCUGCCCUAUCAACUUUCGAUGGUAGGAUAGUGGCCUACCAUGGUGGCAACGGGUAACGGGGAAUUAGGGUUCGAUUCCGGAGAGGGAGCCUGAGAAACGGCUACCACAUCCAAGGAAGGCAGCAGGCGCGCAAAUUACCCAAUCCCGACACGGGGAGGUAGUGACAAUAAAUACUGAUACGGGGCUCUUUUGGGUCUCGUAAUUGGAAUGAGUACAAUCUAAAUCCCUUAACGAGGAACAAUUGGAGGGCAAGUCUGGUGCCAGCAGCCGCGGUAAUUCCAGCUCCAAUAGCGUAUAUUAAAGUUGUUGCAGUUAAAAAGCUCGUAGUUGAACCUUGGGUCUGGCUGGCCGGUCCGCCUCACCGCGAGUACUGGUCCGGCUGGACCUUUCCUUCUGGGGAAUCCCAUGGCCUUCACUGGCUGUGGGUGGAACCAGGACUUUUACUGUGAAAAAAUUAGAGUGUUCAAAGCAGGCCUUUGCUCGGAUACAUUAGCAUGGAAUAAUAGAAUAGGACGUGCGGUUCUAUUUUGUUGGUUUCUAGGACCGCCGUAAUGAUUAAUAGGGAUAGUCGGGGGCGUCAGUAUUCAGCUGUCAGAGGUGAAAUUACCUUGGAUUUGCUGAAGACUAACUACUGCGAAAGCAUUCGCCAAGGAUGUUUUCAUUAAUCAGGGAACGAAAGUUAGGGGACCUCGAAGACGAUCAGAUACCGUCGUAGUCUUAACCAUAAACUAUGCCGACUAGAGAUCGGGCGGCGUUUCUAUGAUGACCCAGGCUCGGCACCUUACGAGAAAUCAAAGUUUUUGGGUUCUGGGGGGAGUAUGGUCGCAAGGCUGAAACUUAAAGAAAUUGACCCGGAAGGGCACCACAAGGCGUGGAGCCUGCGGCUUAAUUUGACUCAACACGGGGAAACUCACCAGGUCCAGACAAAAUAAGCUGAUUGACAGAUUGAGAGCUCUUUCUUGAUCUUUUGGAUGGUGGUGCAUGGCCGUUCUUAGUUGGUGGAGUGAUUUGUCUGUUCUUAAUUGCGAUAACGAACGAGACCUCGGCCCUUAAAUAGCCCGGUCCGCGUCCGCGGGCCGCUGGCUUCUUAGGGGGACGCUAUCGGCUCAAGCCGAUGGAAGUGCGCGGCAAUAACAGGUCUGUGAUGCCCUUAGAUGUUCUGGGCCGCACGCGCGCUACCCACUGACAGGGCCAGCGAGUACAUCACCUUGGCCGAGAGGCCCGGGUAAUCUUGUUAAACCCUGUCGUGCUGGGGAUAGAGGCCAUUGCAAUUAUUGCUCUUCAACGAGGAAUGCCUAGUAGGCACGAGUCAUCAGCUCGUGCCGAUUACGUCCCUGCCCUUUAUGUACACACCGCCCGUCGCUACUACCGAUUGAAUGGCUCGGUGAGGCCUUCGGACUGGCGCAGGAGGGUUGGCAACGACCC
rnacentral:rRNA from 1 species